rnacentral:lncRNA from 1 species
GGUGCUGGUGGCCUUGCCGGGGGGCGGCAGUGGGAGGCUGUUGGUCUCCGGAGUGCUGGCACUGCGGCCAGCGCUGUUGGGGGCAAAGCCAGGCUGUGCCCCGUUGACGGUGGCGGGGGAGCCCGAGUGCUGCUCCUGGGCGAAGGUGCUGGGGGGAGGGUUCUUGCCCCCUUCUUCGCUGCUAGCAGGGAAGCUGGGAUCCGCCCCAGGGAAGGGACUGGCGGUGGGGGGCAGGGGUGGCAUGUUCUGCCCGGGGCGCUGCAUGGGCGAUUGUCCAAAGAGGUUGCUGGGCUGGCUGAAGCGCUGAGCCACUGCUGGCCCCCCAGGGGGGUUGAGGGCUGGCCCGGGGCCCAUGUCCCCCCGGGGGGGCUGCCCCAUAGUGGGGGACAUCAUGGGCCCGAAGCCCGCAACAGGCCCCUGCAUGAGCUGCCCCAUAGGGGGGCUGAAGUUCUGUCCGAGGGGCUGGCUGAAGGGCUGCCCGGCGAAGGUCAAGCCCCCCGGCUGCACGUAGUUGGGAUUCUGGGGGGGAAUGCUAAAGGCCGGGCCCAUCUGCCCGGGGGCGAAAGGCGGGGGCUGCCUCCGCAGGGGCUGGGGACCCCCGCCGUAACCGGGGGGCACCUGCGGCGACAUCCCCCCCUGCACGCGGAAACCGCCGAAGGGGACGGGGCUGCCCAGGAAGGGGGCAGGGGCCGCCCCCACCUUGGGGGCUCCGAAAUCAUCCUCGAAGGGAUUGGAGGCCACCAGGUGGUCCACCAUAGGAGUGGGCGGCGGGGCGAACUCCGAGAGAUGCGAAUAGGCAGGGCCCUGCGGGGAGAAGGUGACGGUCAGGGUUGCCGUGGCCCCCCCCCGGCCCCCGCGCCGCCCCUCGCCCGGCCCUACCUGCGUGUUGGACUUGCGCCGCUUCUUUUCGGGGCUCUUCAUCUGCAGCCCUGCGGGGACAAGCGAGGCCGCGUCAGCAGGGCCCGGGCGACCCCCACCCACCCCGGUCCCGGUCCACCCGCGCUCACCUGCCUUCCCCUGCUUCCGGCCGGGCCCGCCGGCGGCAGUGCUGCCCGCGGGGUGCGGGGGCCCCGGCGGGGGCGGCGGGGCCGGGACGGGUCCCUCCAGCUUCUCUGCGUGCGGGGCAGCCAUAGCCCUCACAGCGCGCGCGUCGCCGCCAUGGCCCGACCGGAACCGGAACCCGCGCGGGGUCAAUCACACCGCGCAGGGGGCGGGGCCAAGCGCGCGAGACAUGUCAAUCACCGCAGACUCCCACCCCACCCCUCGGCCGGACCAAACCAAGUGCAGCGCAAUGGAAGGGGGGGGGGAAGGAUGCGUGAGGGAACAGACGGGACAAACCACGGAGGCGGGCCUGGGGAGGGCACGGGAAAAGGACGAAGGGGAGCACAGGGCGGAGCCCACAGCGAGCACGGCUCACACCGGCCAGGGCCUAGAGAAAUACCACCUCUAAUACAACCGCCCACCCCACCCCCAGUGACCCGUCCCAGCUCUCACACCAGCCAGGGCCUAGAGAAAUACCGACUUUAA